AACGCAAAUUGCACUUUCUGGUAUUCCGGAGAGUAUGCCUAUUUGAGGGUCGGUUUAAACAAACAUCGAUAUGUUCUUGAACAUGUCGGAAUUGGGUUAUCUUGAACUUGUUCAAGAGGCUUAAAAUUUAUCAUAACUUCGGUAUGAUUACGUACUAAAUUUUGUCGUUUAAAAUACCGAAACGUAUUAGAUGUAACUGUUAUUUUAAUGGUAUUACGUCUAUAAUUUUCGAAUUUCGACCUCAAAUUAGGUAAGAAUACCCGCUGAACUUAA
rnacentral:misc_RNA from 1 species